GACGAACGCUGGCGGCGUGCUUAACACAUGCAAGUGGAACGGAAAGGCCCUGCUUUUGUGGGGUGCUCGAGUGGCGAACGGGUGAGUAACACGUGAGUAACCUGCCCUUGACUUUGGGAUAACUUCAGGAAACUGGGGCUAAUACCGGAUAGGAGCUCCUGCUGCAUGGUGGGGGUUGGAAAGUUUCGGCGGUUGGGGAUGGACUCGCGGCUUAUCAGCUUGUUGGUGGGGUAGUGGCUUACCAAGGCUUUGACGGGUAGCCGGCCUGAGAGGGUGACCGGCAACAUUGGGACUGAGAUACGGCCCAGACUCCUACGGGAGGCAGCAGUGGGGAAUAUUGCACAAUGGGCGGAAGCCUGAUGCAGCAACGCCGCGUGCGGGAUGACGGCCUUCGGGUUGUAAACCGCUUUCGCCUGUGACGAAGCGUGAGUGACGGUAAUGGGUAAAGAAGCACCGGCUAACUACGUG
rnacentral:rRNA from 1 species